rnacentral:rRNA from 1 species
UACGGAGGGUGCAAGCGUUAUCCGGAUUCACUGGGUUUAAAGGGUGCGUAGGUGGGUAGGUAAGUCAGUGGUGAAAUCUUCAAGCUUAACUUGGAAACUGCCAUUGAUACUAUUUAUCUUGAAUACUUUGGAGGUAAGCGGAAUAUGUCAUGUAGCGGUGAAAUGCUUAGAUAUGACAUAGAACACCAAUUGCGAAGGCAGCUUACUACACAGUUAUUGACACUGAGGCACGAAAGCGUGGGGAUCAAACAGG